GACGAACGCUGGCGGCGUGCUUAACACAUGCAAGUCGAACGAUGAAGCUAGAGCUUGCUCUGGUGAAUUAGUGGCGAACGGGUGAGUAACACGUGAGUAACCUGCCCCGAACUCUGGAAUAACCGCGGGAAACUGUAGCUAAUACCGGAUACGACCCUCGGCGGCAUCGCCAGGGGGUGGAAAGAAUUUCGGUCAAGGAUGGACUCGCGGCCUAUCAGCUAGUUGGUGAGGUAACGGCUCACCAAGGCGACGAGGGGUAGCCGGCCUGAGAGGGUGCCCGGCCACACGGGGACUGCGACGCGGCCCAGACGCCUACGGGAGGCAGCAGUGGGGAAUAUUGCACAAUGGGCGAAAGCCUGAUGCAGCAACGCGGCGGGAGGGAUGACGGCCUUCGGGUUGUAAACCUCUUUUAGUAGGGAAGAAGCGAAAGUGACGGUACCUGCAGAAAAAGCACCGGCUAACUACGUGCCAGCCGCCGCCGUAA
rnacentral:rRNA from 1 species